UACGAAGGGGGCUAGCGUUGCUCGGAAUCACUGGGCGUAAAGGGUGCGUAGGCGGGUCUUUAAGUCAGGGGUGAAAUCCUGGAGCUCAACUCCAGAACUGCCUUUGAUAUUGAGGAUCUUGAGUUCGGGAGAGGUGAGUGGAACUGCGAGUGUAGAGGUGAAAUUCGUAGAUAUUCGCAAGAACACCAGUGGCGAAGGCGGCUCACUGGCCCGGUACUGACGCUGAGGCGCGAAAGCUAGGGGAGCAAACGGGG
rnacentral:rRNA from 1 species